GCAAGUCGAGCGGAUGUAGCAAUACAUCAGCGGCGCACGGGAGAAUAACGCGUGGGAACCUACCUUUUGGUUCGGAAUAACAUCGGGAAACUGGUGCUAAUACCGGAUAAGCCCUUCGGGGGAAAGAUUUAUUGCCGAAAGAUGGGCCCGCGUUGGAUUAGCUAGUUGGUGAGGUAACGGCUCACCAAGGCGACGAUCCAUAGCUGGUCUGAGAGGAUGAUCAGCCUCACUGGGACUGAGACACGGCCCAGACUCCUACGGGAGGCAGCAGUAGGGAAUAUUGGACAAUGGGGGCAACCCUGAUCCAGCCAUGCCGCGUGAAUGAUGAAGGCCUUCGGGUUGUAAAGUUCUUUUGGUGGGGACGAUGAUGACGGUACCCACAGAAUAAGCUCCGGCUAACUUCGUGCCAGCAGCCGCGGUAAUACGAAGGGAGCUAGCGUUGUUCGGAAUUACUGGGCGUAAAGGGCGCGUAGGCGGUUUGGCAAGUUGGAUGUGAAAGCCCUGGGCUCAACCCGGGAAUUGCAUUCAAGACUGCCUUGCUUGAAUUCGGUAGAGGUUGGUGGAAUUUCCAGUGUAGAGGUGAAAUUCGUAGAGAUUGGAAAGAACACCCGUGGCGAAGGCGGCCAACUG
rnacentral:rRNA from 1 species